GAUCCUGAGAUCAAGACCUGAGCUAAGAUCAAGGUCGGAUAUUUAACCGACUGAGUCACCCAAGCACGCUAAUCUUGGUUUUUUAACAGCCAGCCAGUGAGGAAGGUAUUGUCAUUAUCCCCAUGUCGCAGAUAAGGAACUGAGGCCUACAGAGGGUAAUAAUUGGCCCAAGAUCACACAGCAGUUCCAAAAUCCAAAAGACAUCCAUGGAAGGGCAUUGAAAGGUUGCAUAAUCUACAAAGUAUACCCCCAACAUCUCCAAAGAUGGGAGAAAAAAGAAGUAAGGGAAAAUAGAAGUGAGACCAGCAAGAGAGAGAGAGAGAGAGAGAAAGUGAUAAUGGUGAUUUUCAACUUAAAAAGGGAGAGAGCGAGAGAGAGCACAGAUGUGAGGGGCA